GACGAAGGGAGCGAGCGUUGCUCGGAAUAAUUGGGCGUAAAGGGUGCGUAGGUGGUUUUUUAAGUGAGAUGUUAAAGACCUGGACUCAAUCUAGGAAAUGCAUUUCAUACUGAAAAACUUGAGUGUGGGAGAGGAAAUAGGAAUUUCUCAUGUAGAGGUGAAAUUCGUAGAUAUGAGAAGGAACACCAAAGGCGAAGGCAAAUUUCUGGAACACUACUGACACUGAGGCACGAAAGCGUGGGGAGCAAACAGG
rnacentral:rRNA from 1 species